rnacentral:rRNA from 1 species
UUGUGCAGUAUAGGUGGGAGGCAAAGAUUAUAUAUUUGCGGAUGUAUAUGAGCCGCUAGUGAGAUACCACUCUAAUUAAACUAGGAUUCUAAUAUUGAUUGCCAUAAGCUGGCCGAUAGACAGUUUCAGGUAGGCAGUUUGACUGGGGCGGUCGCCUCCUAAAAGGUAACGGAGGCGUGCAAAGGUUUCCUCAGGCUGGUCGGAAAUCAGUCGUAGAGUAUAAAGGUAUAAGGAAGCUUGACUGCGAGACCUACAAGUCGAGCAGAGACGAAAGUCGGCCUUAGUGAUCCGACAGUGCUG